GUAAAAUUGGCACGUGUUGUUCCACAUCUAAAGGCUGGAAGCCAUUUGGGCAGAGGCAGAAUCUGGGCUCAGAGUCUAGCCCUGCAGGAUCCAGUGUGGCAGCUGCGUGUCUCUGGAGCACUGGAAAGGAAGCUACUGCAAAUUUAGGAUCUGCUGUAAAGAGCAUCUUCCUGGUUAUUCUCUGGGACGCAAAACCAUGGUGGUAUCUGAUGUCAUCACAUUUCUGCCAGGAGGUGAAAUCGAAGAGCCUAUAGGUCAUUUGCCUGAGGACACCUGGGGAUUCUGAGGUUAAGUUCCCAGGCUCUCCUCUGCAAAUGCAGGAAGAAAUUAGCAGGUGUUGGGGCCUGAUUCUUCUCGGGAACAUACUGGAGCUGUCCUGGUGUCAGACCAGAAAUGAUGUAAUCAAG
rnacentral:lncRNA from 1 species